AUAUAUAUAUAUAUAUAUAUUCCCAAAACCAACUCGAUCAUCUCUAAUUCCAAUUCCAUUAAUAAUUCAAUAUCUAAUUCCUCAUUCAUACAACAAAGCCACCUCCUUUACUCACCACAAACCUCCUAGCUAGCUAGCUCCUGAUCAUCACUCAAACAAUAUAUCUCCACGUAGCCCAAUCCAACAACAAUCCCUCCAAGCCGUCCAGAGGGACGUCAAAAGGUCGUUGAAAUUAAUGCAACGAUCGAGCAGCUCCGGGCAUUCAUGAGUCAUGACCCUCGCGUGGAGAAGAUAUAUAGAAAAAGGGCAAGUAGUAGUGAAGGAGAUUACGGAAAAGGGAAGGUUUCAUGAUAAGCAUUUGGUGGUGCUUUAAUUUGGAACAUGCAUGUUGGUUGGCAAAACAAAGGUGGGAAUUAAUAUUGUAAUUGAGUGAAGUUUUGCCGGAGUUUGAGAGGAUUCAUCAGGAGUUGAGUGAAGGGGUUAAUAUCGAUCCGGUAUAUAUAUAUGUGUGUGUGUGUGUGUGUGUGUGUGUGUGUGUGUGAACAGUGUGAUCAGUUGUUUUUGGACAAGAAGACGAGAAUACUAGUACUUGAAUGCAUGAUCAUGAUUGAUUAUAUGGCCUGUAAUUAAUAUUGACUUCUAUUUAUUAGUAUUUGCUUAAUUUUUAAGGAAAUUAGAGAUUGCAUAUAUGCAUUAUAAAUAAAUGCAAUGCAAUGCAAAAAUAUUUUAGGACUACCUAGAAAAAACCAA
rnacentral:lncRNA from 1 species